rnacentral:rRNA from 1 species
UAUGGAUUAAUAAUACUGGCAAACGAGUGAGUAGCUUUGAACAUUUAUUUUUUGGUUUAAGUAUAGGGGUUAGAAACAGCCGUUAAUACUAAAUAAACUGGAGACAGUAAAAAACAACAGUUUGCCAAAAAUUAAUUUCAAAUCAGAUUAGUCUGUUGGUUAGAUAAAAGCUCACCAAAACCUUUAUCUGUAGUUGGUUUUAGCGAACGAUCAACCACGUUGAAACUGAGAACGGUUCAAACUCCUAUGGGAGGCUGCAGUUAAGAAUAUUACGCUAUGGGCAUUUUGCCUGACGUAGCAACUCCAUGUGAAGGAUGAAAGCUUAUGAGUUGUAAACUUCUUUUAACCCUUUUGUUGAAUAAGUAUUGGCUAACUUCGUGCCAGCAGCCGCGGUAAAACGGGGAAUACUAGUGUUAUCUAGAAAACUGGGCGUAAAGCGUUUGUUGAUGGUUUGGCAAGUCGUGCGUUAAAUAAUUAAGCUUAACUUAGUUAUGCGUAGGAAACUGCUAAACUUGGGUUUGGUAUAGGUUGUAGGAAUUUUCAAAGUAGCGGUGAAAUGCUUAGAUAUUGAAAAGAACACCGAUAGCGAAAGCAUUCAGCUUGACCAUAACUGACAUUUCAAAACGAAAGCUAAGGUAGCAAAGUGGAUUAGAUACCCACCUAGUCUUGGCAGUAAACUAUGAGUACUCUUUUUAGGUUGU